rnacentral:rRNA from 1 species
AAAUUGAAGAGUUUGAUCAUGGCUCAGAUUGAACGCUGGCGGCAGGCCUAACACAUGCAAGUCGAGCGGUAGCACAGAGAGCUUGCUCUCGGGUGACGAGCGGCGGACGGGUGAGUAAUGUCUGGGAAACUGCCUGAUGGAGGGGAUAACUACUGGAAACGGUAGCUAAUACCGCAUAAUGUCGCAAGACCAAAGUGGGGACCUUCGGGCCUCAUGCCAUCAGAUGUGCCCAGAUGGGAUUAGCUAGUAGGUGGGGUAACGGCUCACCUAGGCGACGAUCCUAGCUGGUCUGAGAGGAUGACCAGCCACACUGGAACUGAGACACGGUCCAGACUCCUACGGGAGGCAGCAGGGGAAUAUUGCACAAUGGGCGCAAGCCUGAUGCAGCCAUGCCGCGUGUGUGAAGAAGGCCUUCGGGUUGUAAAGCACUUUCAGCGGGGAGGAAGGCGUUAAGGUUAAUAACCUUGGCGAUUGACGUUACCCGCAGAAGAAGCACCGGCUAACUCCGUGCCAGCAGCCGCGGUAAUACGGAGGGUGCAAGCGUUAAUCGGAAUUACUGGGCGUAAAGCGCACGCAGGCGGUCUGUCAAGUCGGAUGUGAAAUCCCCGGGCUCAACCUGGGAACUGCAUUCGAAACUGGCAGGCUAGAGUCUUGUAGAGGGGGUAGAAUUCCGGUGUAGCGGUGAAAUGCGUAGAGAUCUGGAGGAAUACCGGUGGCGAAGGCGGCCCCUGGACAAAGACUGACGCUCAGGUGCGAAAGCGUGGGGAGCAAACAGGAUUAGAUACCCUGGUAGUCCACGCCGUAAACGAUGUCGAUUUGGAGGUUGUGCCCUUGAGGCGUGGCUUCCGGAGCUAACGCGUUAAAUCGACCGCCUGGGGAGUACGGCCGCAAGGUUAAAACUCAAAUGAAUUGACGGGGCCCGCACAAGCGGUGGAGCAUGUGGUUUAAUUCGAUGCAACGCGAAGAACCUUACCUGGUCUUGACAUCCACAGAACUUUCCAGAGAUGGAUUGGUGCCUUCGGGAACUGUGAGACAGGUGCUGCAUGGCUGUCGUCAGCUCGUGUUGUGAAAUGUUGGGUUAAGUCCCGCAACGAGCGCAACCCUUAUCCUUUGUUGCCAGCGGUUAGGCCGGGAACUCAAAGGAGACUGCCAGUGAUAAACUGGAGGAAGGUGGGGAUGACGUCAAGUCAUCAUGGCCCUUACGACCAGGGCUACACACGUGCUACAAUGGCAUAUACAAAGAGAAGCGACCUCGCGAGAGCAAGCGGACCUCAUAAAGUAUGUCGUAGUCCGGAUUGAGUCUGCAACUCGACUCCAUGAAGUCGGAAUCGCUAGUAAUCGUAGAUCAGAAUGCUACGGUGAAUACGUUCCCGGGCCUUGUACACACCGCCCGUCACACCAUGGGAGUGGGUUGCAAAAGAAGUAGGUAGCUUAACCUUCGGGAGGGCGCUUACCACUUUGUGAUUCAUGACUGGGGUGAAGUCGUAACAAGGUAACCGUAGGGGAACCUGCGGUUGGAUCACCUCCUUA